UACGUAGGUGGCAAGCGUUGUCCGGAUUUACUGGGCGUAAAGAGCGCGCAGGCGGUUGGAUAAGUCGAAUGUGAAAGCCCCCGGCUCAACUGGGGAGGGUCAUUCGAUACUGUCCGACUCGAAGGCAGGAGAGGGAAGCGGAAUUCCCGGUGUAGUGGUGAAAUGCGUAGAUAUCGUGAGGAAGACCAGUGGCGAAGGCGGAUCUCUGGACAGUUCCUGACGCUGAGGCGCGAAGGCCAGGGGAGCAAACGGG
rnacentral:rRNA from 1 species